rnacentral:misc_RNA from 1 species
GAUGAAGAACGUAGCGAAAUGCGAUAAGUAAUGUGAAUUGCAGAGUUCAGUGAAUCAUCGAAUCUUUGAACGCACAUUGCGCCCGUUAGUAUUCUGACGGGCAUGCCUGUCCGAGCGUCAUUUCAACCCUCAAGCACGGCUUGGUGUUGGCGGAUUGCGUGCCCUAGCGGCGCUGCACUCGCCCAAAUACAGUGGCGGUCCCGCUGCGGCUCCCUUUGCGUAGUAACUCACCUCGCACUGGACCGGGCGGCGGCUCGCCGUAAAACCCCAACUCACGAAAUGUUGACCUCGGAUCAGGUAGGAAUACCCGCUGAACUUAAGCAUAUCAAUAAGCGGAGGA